AGCCGUAGACAGUCACAGAGGUGGAGAAUCGGGACAGCCGUAGGCAGUCACAGAGGUGGAGAAUCGGGACAGCCGUAGGCAGUCACAGAGGUGGGGAAUCGGGACAGCCUUAGACAGUCACAGAGGUGGAGAAUCGGGACAGCCGUAGGCAGUCACAGAGGUGGAGAAUUGGGACAGCCGUAGACAGUCACAGAGGUGGAGAAUCGGGACAGCCGUAGGCAGUCACAGAGGUGGAGAAUCGGGACAGCCGUAGACAGUCACAGAGGUGGAGAAUCGGGACAGCCUUAGACAGUCACAGAGGUGGAGAAUCGGGACAGCCGUAGACAGUCACAGAGGUGGAGAAUCGGGACAGCCGUAGACAGUCACAGAGGUGGAGAAUCUGGACAGCCGUAGACAGUCACAGAGGUGGAGAAUCGGGACAGCCGUAGACAGUCACAGAGGUGGAGAAUCGGAACAGCCGUAGACAGUCACAGAGGUGAAUGUACUGUAUCUAGUAGGUUGUUAAUGUCCUCUGUCCUGUCUGUU